rnacentral:rRNA from 1 species
UAGUCCACGCCGUAAACGAUGAUAACUCGUUGCUGGUGAUAUACAAUCAGUGACUGAGCGAAAGCAUUAAGUUAUCCACCUGGGGAGUACGAUCGCAAGGUUGAAACUCAAAGGAAUUGACGGGGGCCCGCACAAGCGGAGGAACAUGUGGUUUAAUUCGAUGAUACGCGAGGAACCUUACCUGGGCUUAAAUGUACGUUGCAUGGAUCAGAGAUGGUCCUUUCUUCGGACUACGUACAAGGUGCUGCAUGGUUGUCGUCAGCUCGUGCCGUGAGGUGUCGGGUUAAGUCCCAUAACGAGCGCAACCCCUAUCCUUAGUUGCCAGCGAGUAAUGUCGGGGACUCUGAGGAGACUGCCACCGUAAGGUGCGAGGAAGGUGGGGAUGACGUCAAAUCAGCACGGCCCUUAUGUCCAGGGCUACACACGUGUUACAAUGGCAGGUACAAAGGGCAGCUACUGGGCGACCAGAUGCUAAUCUCUAAAGCCUGUCUCAGUUCGG